CAGGGAAAGAACAGCGCAUGCCCCUCCCUCUUAACCACCACUGAGGUGCCCCUGAGCAAGGCCCUAAUCCAAAUGGCUCCAGUGGAGCUGGUCAGUGGCCAGCCGAUCAGAAUCUGGUUGUACUGGGCAGCUUCCAGUUAUGAAUGUGUA